GCCCGGCUGGCGCAAUGGUAGCGCGUCAGACUUCUAAGCGAUCUCUUCAUCGUCCAAGUAAUCUGAAGGUUGCGGGUUCGAGUCCCGCGUUGGGUG